rnacentral:rRNA from 1 species
UACGGGGGGGGCAAGCGUUGUUCGGAAUCACUGGGCGUAAAGCGCACGUAGGCGGAUCUUUAAGUCGGGGGUGAAAUCCUGAGGCUCAACCUCAGAACUGCCUUCGAUACUGGCAAUCUCGAGUCCGGAAGAGGUUGGUGGAACAGCUAGUGUAGAGGUGAAAUUCGUAGAUAUUAGCUAGAACACCAGUGGCGAAGGCGGCCAACUGGUCCGGUACUGACGCUGAGGUGCGAAAGCGUGGGGAGCAAACAGG